rnacentral:rRNA from 1 species
CAGUCGCCGCGGGAAUACGAAGGGGGCUAGCGUUGUUCGGAAUCACUGGGCGUAAAGGGUGCGUAGGCUGGUUCUUAAGUCAGGGGUGAAAUCCCGAGGCUCAACCUCGGAACUGCCUUUGAUACUGGGGAUCUUGAGUCCGGAAGAGGUGAGUGGAACUGCGAGUGUAGAGGUGAAAUUCGUAGAUAUUCGCAAGAACACCGGUGGCGAAGGCGGCUCACUGGUCCGGAACUGACGCUGAGGCACGACAGCGUGGGGAGCAAACAGGAUUAGAUACCCCUGUAGUCCCUGUCUCUUAUAC